rnacentral:lncRNA from 1 species
GAAGGGGUGUGAGGCAGGGCGGAAGAGAGCAGGGCCCUGGGCAGGUGCUGAGCCAGGUCCUGCAGGUCACCCAGUCGCUUGAGUCCACGAAUGCUGGAGGCAGGCACUGGAGAGCCAGGGUGGUUCAGCCGCAGCUCCUCUGAGCAGGGAGUCAAACAGCUCUGGUGCGGCCUGGCCCUGGCAGUCACAGCUCCUCUCUCUCCCUAUAGGGCUGAAACAGACACCAGCUCUCCAGGACCAGCUGGAGCCUGGACCUGUGGCCUUCCCUGCCUCCACCUGGGCCUCAACCGUCACGACCACCUGGCCUUUGAGGUGUAUCUCGUUUCUCAUCAUAAGAGCUCUUCCGCUCGUGUGGCAGCUGGGAGUGGCCGUCAUUGCCUGCGCAUACCUAAACUUGGUCAGCAGCCAAGUGUUUUGUGAGACCUAAGAAAGGAAGAGCCCCAUAAGUAAAUGGAACUGUUGUGUUGUUUUAUUACCGAGAAAAGGGCAGAAUGAUUGCUAGUCACACGUGAAGCAAGAAAACCCCGGCAAUAAAGCUUGCAGAAUGAGUGGCUGAGGCUUGAAAAUAAAUGGUGGAAACAAUAGUGGACAAUCUUUUAAAGAAUGGCACAUUGCCAAUGCUCCUGAUGGCACAGAAGGUGACACCAUGCAGAAAAUCAAGGCUCUGAGUCAAAGAGGGUUUCAGAAAAAUUGGACUCUGAAUGUGAAGAAAUCUGGGGACUAUUUUAGCCAAUUUGUUUUGCCUAUAAUUUCCUUUUAUGCAUGCAAAAGAGCAAUUCUGACUUUAAAGACUGAUAUCUAAAUAAAUCUAAAAUAUCUUUUUUGUGUGUGUGUCUGUGAUACAGUGUCUCGCCCUUUCACCCAGGCUGGAGUGCAGUAGUGCAAUCUCAGCUCACU